UACAGAGGUCUCAAGCGUUGUUCGGAUUCACUGGGCGUAAAGGGUGCGUAGGUGGUGAGGUAAGUCGGAUGUGAAAUCUCCAAGCUCAACUUGGAAAUGGCAUUGGAAACUACCUUGCUGGAGGUUUGGAGGGGGGACUGGAAUUCUCGGUGUAGCAGUGAAAUGCGUAGAUAUCGAGAGGAACACCAGUGGCGAAGGCGAGUCCCUGGACAAAACCUGACACUGAGGCACGAAAGCUAGGGGAGCAAACAGG
rnacentral:rRNA from 1 species